rnacentral:rRNA from 1 species
CGGAACUCUUCGGAGGGAAGGCAGCGGAAUGAGCGGCGGACGGGUGAGUAACACGUAAGGAACCUGCCUCAAGGAUUGGGAUAACUCCGAGAAAUCGGAGCUAAUACCGGAUAGUUCAACGGACCGCAUGGUCCGCUGAUGAAAGGCGCUUCGGCGUCACCUUGAGAUGGCCUUGCGGUGCAUUAGCUAGUUGGUGGGGUAACGGCCCACCAAGGCGACGAUGCAUAGCCGACCUGAGAGGGUGAUCGGCCACACUGGGACUGAGACACGGCCCAGACUCCUACGGGAGGCAGCAGUAGGGAAUCUUCCACAAUGGACGAAAGUCUGAUGGAGCAACGCCGCGUGAGUGAUGAAGGUUUUCGGAUCGUAAAACUCUGUUGUAAGGGAAGAACACGUACGAGAGGUAAUGCUCGUACCUUGACGGUACCUUACGAGAAAGCCACGGCUAACUACGUGCCAGCAGCCGCGGUAAUACGUAGGUGGCAAGCGUUGUCCGGAAUUAUUGGGCGUAAAGCGCGCGCAGGCGGCCUUUUAAGUCUGAUGUGAAAGCCCCCGGCUCAACCGGGGAGGGCCAUUGGAAACUGGAAGGCUUGAGUACAGAAGAGAAGAGUGGAAUUCCACGUGUAGCGGUGAAAUGCGUAGAGAUGUGGAGGAACACCA